AGCUCUAUGCUAACUUGCGUGAGACAUCUGUGCACAAUCCAUCCAGCUGUGAUUAAAUUCCUGGUUUCAGUGUUUGUGUGUGUGUGUUUCAAUUCAAAAAUUAAAGGCAAAUUCCUGUGGAAAGAGAUACUUGGAAAACGUCUGCAAAUCUAAAAACGCUGGACAUUUUAUAUGAAACAAGCAUAAGAAGACUCCAAAAGGUAGAGACAAGGCAGAAUUGCUGGGGAACUUGAGACCAAAGGAACAACACAUUAGUCAGUCUGAUAUCCACCACCCAGUUCUCCAGGUGGAAGAAUAAUCAAAGAGCCUUGGGGGAAAGAGGGAUUCUCAUGGUUGAAGAUGAUGAAGAUGUGAAGGCUGGAUUUGAUAAUGAAGAGUCUUCUUUGUGUUCUCUCAUUAUUUAUGCCACAUCUGCCUCUCAGCAUUUGUGUCAAUGAGUCACUGUAAUUACAGCCGUUGGAUAAUUUCCUCCGUUUUACAACACAAACCCGACUGUGUGAGUGCUCCAUCAGAGAAAAACAUUUAUUUCCUUGCAGCACCAUCAGGCAGCAAGGUCCAGCUUUCUUGAGACGUGGUUAUUAGCCAAGUCAGAACAAAUGGCUUCUGUUCUUACUCACGCUAACUGAAAGUGAGACUUGAGGAGCUUAGCUGAUUACGGAGACACAAAGGAUCAGAAUUCUUUUUUCUAUAUAAAAGCCAGAAUUUUGACUGAGGAUCUUGCUUAAAAAAUGAUUUAUGGAAAAAUGAACUAUGCUGACCCUGAAAUGGAGGGGUGGGGGUAAACUGGGGAGAAUCACG
rnacentral:lncRNA from 1 species